UACAGAGGGUGCGAGCGUUAAUCGGAAUUACUGGGCGUAAAGCGCGCGUAGGCGGCUUUGCAAGUCGGGUGUGAAAUCCCCAGGCUUAACCUGGGAACUGCAUUCGAGACUGCAUUGCUAGAGUAUGGGAGAGGGAAGUGGAAUUUCCGGUGUAGCGGUGAAAUGCGUAGAUAUCGGAAGGAACAUCAGUGGCGAAAGCGACUUCCUGGACCAAUACUGACGCUCAUGUGCGAAAGCGUGGGGGAGCAAAACAGG
rnacentral:rRNA from 1 species